GUUUCUACAUGCAAUGGGUGAAUUAUUUCGUCGAACAUCUUUUGUGCAUAAUGUUUUAUAAACUACAUCAAAAUAAAAUAGAAAUUAAAGAUAGAUGAAACUAAGAGAAGAAUGAUGUAUAAUAGCAAAGAAUAAUAGAUUACUUCUCUUAACAUAUUCAUCCUAAACGUACAAUUAUAACAAAUGUUUCUCAAAAUUAACUAGAGUUUAAAUUGUAAAUAAUGAAUUGAAAUUGUUUUUAAAACUUAUUGAGUAGAUGAUAACAUAAGAGAAAACGAUAAUAUUGCAAUUGUAGAAUGAGGUAUGAGGCACAACAACAUGAGAUAACCUGAUAAUGUAAAUGUGGUCUCUGUUGUUAUCUCACCAUUUCCAGCGUUGAGUGCGAUAAAAAAACUCACUUCCCAACUCACCGCCCUCUACGCCGAUCACAACUGCUGCAUCAAAGACAACAUAAUACUUCUAGUGAAGGAUCCACCAUGCUCCGUUCAAAAUCCUCCAAGAGAGAACCCAUUUGCAUUAAUAGGUUAUUGGGUCUC
rnacentral:lncRNA from 1 species